UUUUAGGGGGAGAUGGUUUUUAAACUUCGGGCUCAAAUAUGCCCAUGCAUUUUUAAUGGCGGACUCUCCUCGACCAGAGAGGGUUUGUGUGCCAAUUUGAUAGCAUGAGGCAUUUUGGGUUUUACAAUAUAUUAUAGCAGCUAUUUGGAUGGGCGAUAAGGCUAGUUUGGAGGACCUGGAGAUAGGUAUUGUUAUACUGUGUGUGGAAGUCAUUUGCAGGGUUUACUUUCAGAACUAUUGUUCGUUCAAGCACGAGAAAAACUUUGAUAUUGAUUCAUGAAUCUUCUGUGAAUCCUGGUUGAUAUACUAUCUCAGAACUGAUUUUGGAAGCUGUUGGUAAUGUGCAAUGAUGCUGCUAAUUUAAUUGCAAAUUGAUAUGUACUCUUUGAGCAUUAUUUUCAGAUCGGUUCUUCCAUCAAAGUCUUUGAAAGAAUGGUGCCAAACAAAUGAAGAUGCUCUCCUAAGAAAAAAUUUCCCUUUGGGCUGGAAGAAAAUCUUACACUCAUGAGGACAUUUUUUGCCUUUGUCUUCUGCUACAAUUUAUUUACAAGGAGGUAAAAGAUGCUUUCAAGAUAAAUGACUGGAACCCAAGCUCGAGUGUUAAGAAUUGGAUCCCAUAAAUUAGGAUCUGGUGGAUAUAAUAGCAUUCCUCGUGGCAUGGUUCACCAAUUUCAAAAGGAAGCUUUAGAGGACCUAAAAUAUGCUUUACUACAUGGUUCUCAAUGUCCUUGACAACAUAUGAUAGAUUGAGGUGAGAAAUUAAUCACGGGUCAUGAAUUUGAGGAAGCCCAACAAUCAAAUUCAUCAAGUGAAAUAUCUGGGAGUGAGCAUGAGGAGGAGAUACAUUUCAAGCAACAAUUUCUUCCAUUCAUGCCAAAAAUUCUAGGACAAAUUAUAGAAUGCAAUAUAGCAAUGCCAAGAACGGGUCCAACAUUUCAAGCAACAAUUUCUUCCAUGAAUGAAUGUGUGGCAGUUCGCUAAUUUUUGGAAAAAAUAAGUGUAUCUGUUAUGUCUUGGACAAGGAAGUGUAAUCUCCGGUGAUUUCAGCUCUUAUGUAAUUUUAUUGCACACCACUAUUGCAUGAUUAUUCUUGUUUCUUAAUUAAAAUUCUAUAUGUUGGAACUUUUCAAAUUUAGGAAAGCAUAUGCAAAUGUUUGCAUUUAUGUAAGUCUUGAAUUGAUGUAAAACCAGGAUUGUUUGUCAAAGAAUGUAACUCCAUGUGCAAUAUGUAAGUUUUGAAAUUAAUGUAAAACAAAGGAUUGUUUGUCAAA